ACGAGAUCGAAAAUGGUCAAGAUCAGUGAAAAAAAAUGGCCGCCAGUGGGCGGGGCAUUUUUCUCUAUAUGUAUAUAGUGGCAGUUUUCCCUAUUUUGGCUAUAGAGAAACCUUGUAAACACUCUAGAAGUCACAAUUUUUGCCCGAUCAUCAUGAAAGUUGGUCAAAACAUUGGUUUUAUUGAUAUCUCGGACGAGUUUGGAAAUGGUCGGGAUCGGUGAAAAAACAUGGCUGCCAGUGGGCGGGGCAUUUUUCUCUAUAUGUAUUUAGUGAAAACAUGUGAACACAGUAGAAGUCACAUUUUUGGCCCAAUUUUCAUGAAAUUUGCUCAGAACAUUUGUUUCCUUGAUACGAGAGUUGAGUUCAAAAAUGGUUCCAGUCAGUUGAAUAACAUGGCUGCUGGGAGGGGGGCAGUUUUCUCAUUAUGCCGCCCCCCUUUCGAAGAAGAGGGGGUAUAUUGUUUUUUCUCAUGUCGGUCCGUCCGUCCACCAGAUGGUUUCCAGAUGAUAACUCAAGAGUACUGAUGCCAAGGAUCAUGAAACUUCAUAGGUACAUUGAUCAUGACUCGCAGAUGACCCCUACUGAUUUUCAGGUCACUAGGUCAAAGGUCAAGGUCACGAUGACCUGAAAUAGUAAAAUGGUUUCUGGAUGAUAACUCAAGAACACUUAUGCCUAGGAUCAUGAAACUUCAUAGAUACAUUGAUCAUGACUCGCAGAUAACCCCUAUUGAUUUUCAGGUCACUAGGUCAAAGGUCAAGGUCAUGGUGACCUGAAAUAGUAAAAUGGUUUCUGGAUAAUAACUCAAGAAGGCUUAUGCCUAGGAUCAUGAAACUUCAUAGGUACAAUGAUCAUGACUCGCAGAUGACCCCUAAUGAUUUUCAGGUCACUAGGUCAAAGGUCAAGGUCAUGGUGACCUGAAAUAGUAAAAUGGUUUCUGGAUGAUAACUCAAGAACGCUUAUGCCUAGGUUCAUGAAACUUCAUAGGUAUAUUGAUCAUGACUCGCAUAUGACCCCUAUUGAUUAUCAGGUCACUAGGUCAAAGGUCAAGGUCACAGUGCCAAAAAACGUAUUCACACAAUGGCUGUCAAGGUCACGGUGACUCAACUUAGAAAAAUGGUUUCCGGAUGAUAACUCAAGAAUUCUUAUGCCUAGGAUCAUGAAUCUUCAUAGGUACAGUGAUCAUGACUCGCAGCUGAAAUAAUGAUGAAACUUGACCAGGAUGUUUGUCUGGACAAUAUCUAGGUCAAGUUUGACAUUUGGUAAAGAUUGAAUGAACCGACUCCUCUCAGGUGAGCGAACUAGGGCCAUCUUGGCCCUCUUGUUUCAGAUACUUCCAUGUUUGUUUCCACCUGUUGCAAAAACCUUAGAAGCCUGACAGGUGCUUACUUUGUAGUAGUUUCACAUCCUUUUUUGAAGGAGGGUUGAGGUCUAAGUUUCAUUACUUCAUGAUUGUACCAUUUUAGUUUUUAUUUUA